UGCCAGCAGCCGCGGUAAUACAUAUGUGGCAAGCGUUGUUCGGAAUUACUGGGCAUAAAGAGUUCGUAGGUUGAACUAUAAGUUGGGUGUGAAAUCCCUGGGCUUACCCCAGGAACUGCACUCAAUACUAUAGUUCUGGAGUCUUUGAGGGGAGAGUGGAAUUCCAGGUGUAGCGGUGAAAUGCGUAGAUAUCUGGGAGAACGCCAAUGGCGAAGGCAGCUCUCUGGCGAAUGACUGACACUGAGGAACGAAAGUUAGGGUAUCGAACGGGAUUAGAUA
rnacentral:rRNA from 1 species